CUUGGAGACCAAAGUUAAAAGAUUCCAUUGGGCAUUCCAGAAUACAUCUUAUUAUGUCCUACAAGAAUUCCCUUUCAGCAAAAUAUCUCUUGCUGAAGAUCAAGUGUGUGUGCUGCCGAAGUGAACACAGCAAGACCUUCGCUUCAGCGCAGGGUCUGGCACAGAAUGGGCCAUCGGAGCUCCCUUUGGUGAUCUUUCCUCUGGGUGAAAGAGUUGACAGCAAAGAAAGUCCUCAGUUCUGACACGUUUACCAGCUCACUCUUGUCUCUGAGCCUGCGGUUUGCCUGACACACUGAACAAGUCCACAAGGCUUCAGAGAAUCUGAGAUAUUCCUGGGAAAAGGCUUUCUCUCCUUGCAUGCCUCAGUGGGAGGCGAGCUGCUCCGUAACUCCGCACUGGCUGGGGGCGGUUGCUCUCAGAGCUGGAGCUGGAGGAACCCGCGUGUGAAUGAGACGGCUGUCAGCAUCACCGCACUCAGGACUCCCUGUGCAGGGAGCAACACACCAGAAGUGCAGAGCCCCCGAUCUUCUGGCUCACUUGAAUUUGUGCUCCAGCCUAUUACAUAUUUUUUUUUCACACACAUGAUCAUUUGUUUGCAGUCUGGAAAUAUAAAACCACUCAAGAAAUGGGGGCCAAACUAUUGGCCUCCUGAUUACUCUACAAAUCCUUUUGGAUUCUUGUUCUUAGAACGAUUGCACAAUUAGCUGUCAGAGAGACAGGGAUAACCUCCCAGUAAGAGUCAGGCGUCUGAAUUCUGCAUGAACAAAGUCGAGGGGAAAAACCAACCCUGUACCAGAUUUACGAGAAGAGUUACCUUUAUAAAAUCUAUAUGAACUAGAAAGUGAUGCAGAUGAAGGGGAGGCUGCUUGAUAAAACUAAAGCCUGCAGUUCUCAAAGAGAUGCCUUUAGAAGUGCGGUUCAAUUUUAAGUUUCCCACAUCGUGCUAAUUAGAACAUACAUUCCAAUUAGAAUUAGAUUGCACUUCAGGAAGUGAAUUAUUAAGUGACCCAGCACAUUUUGAUGUUUUCAAAUGCCCAAACUCCCAGCUUUGGAGGACAAUGAGCCUUUAAUGAUAAUUUAUUCCCCUCUUGUCCCCAUUAUUGCUACAUAGCUGGGAGCCCUAGAUUCUUGCUGGGCUCUGGAGACCCAGUGCAGACGUUUCUAGAGGAGGAUACCAAUUAGCCAGCUUGGUUUCACAAAGAAGCAAAGAUUGCCCUGAGGUGCAAACUCUGCCUUAGAGGGAACACCCUUGAAUUUUAACCAUCUUUAUUGCUAAUGAUUCGAAGUCAGCACAGAAUUCGGCCUUUCCCUCACCAUUUCAUUAUCUCCACUCCUGGAUUUAAAAACACAUACUUUCUUCCUUAUGAAGGUGACGAUAAAGACAGGCAAUUCACUAUGUACAUAAAAGCAAGUGACCACUUUCUGCUAGUUUUGAUAGUACUUCUACUGCUUCCAAAAAUUGCUUUAGGUAACCUAAUGUGGAAUGCCCCUGGGGAUAAGCCUCUGAAGAUUUUGCACAAGGCCCUUCAUAGAGUUUUCAGGACAGCGUAAUUACUCGGGGCUCCCUGAAAGUGACGAGCAGCAGCCUCAAGUUUUCUGAAUAAUAUAUUCUUGCAUGUUUGACUCAUAUAUAGAUAAAAAGAACAAAAAGUCAAUCACCAUCUAAACCACAAUUUUAUUCUUUUUUUCAUUCAUUUAAUUACUUCAUUGAACACAUUUUUGAGAUUCUCUUAUGUACCAGGCACUGUACUAGGCACCUGGGCUCUUAUCAGCAGACAGCACAGUUCUACCUAUUUAGACGCUCCCAUUCGGGAGGGGCUGGUGGGUGGGGCAGGCAGAGAGGGGCGUGGAGAAUGGUGAAGCAGCAGAUCAUUAAUUCCGGAAAGUGCUAGCUCUGUGCACCUGAGGAGGCCAUGGAAGGUUUGUCUAUUGUCUUGAGCAUUUCGUUUUUCUCAGCAUCAGGGGUCUGUACAUUCUACCUUUCUUCUGAAUCUCACAACGCUUAAGCACUUUGUGGCGGUAUAGUGAAUUCGGUUACUUAAUAUUGACUGGUGGAAGAUGAGAAGAAACUUUUCCUUUGCUUGGAAGAAAGCAACCAUUUUUGAGUUUGCAAAAAUCAAUAUUUAGUCAUAAAAGCACUCCUACAGUAAUAUAUCCCAACUUGUGGAAGCUCAGACUCCAGAGCCAGAUUGUCUGGGUUUGAAACCCGAGCUCUACUGUUACUAAAUGUGUGACGCUGGCAAAUUGCUCAGCUCUCUGUUCCUCAAUUCCUUCAUAAGUAGAAUGGAAACUUCAUAGGAUAAAUACGUAUGUGUGUAUAUAAAUUUAUGGAGUUAUUAUGAAGAUAAAAUAAUUAGCAUAUUUAACAGUACUGGAAUACAGUGUUAG
rnacentral:lncRNA from 1 species